rnacentral:rRNA from 1 species
GGGGAAUAUUGGGCAAUGGGCGAAAGCCUGACCCAGCAACGCCGCGUGAGGGAAGAAGGUUUUCGGAUCGUAAACCUCUGUCCUUGGGGACGAAAUAAAUGACGGUACCCAAGGAGGAAGCCCCGGCUAACUACGUGCCAGCAGCCGCGGUAAUACGUAGGGGGCGAGCGUUGUCCGGAAUGAUUGGGCGUAAAGGGCGCGUAGGCGGCCUGUUAAGUCUGGAGUGAAAUUCCUGCUUUCAAGGUAGGAAGUGCUUUGGAAACUGGCGGGCUGGAGUGCAGGAGAGGUUAGCGGAAUUCCCGGUGUAGCGGUGAAAUGCGUAGAGAUCGGGAGGAACACCAGUGGCGAAGGCGGCUAACUGGACUGUAACUGACGCUGAGGCGCGAAAGUGUGGGGAGCAAAC